rnacentral:rRNA from 1 species
ACUCCUACGGGAGGCAGCAGUGGGGAAUAUUGCACAAUGGGGAAGCCCAUCGAUGCAGCGACGCAGCGUGCGGGAUGACGGCCUUCGGGUUGUAAACCGCUUUCAGCAGGGAAGAAGCGCAAGUGACGGUACCUGCAGAAGAAGUACCGGCUAACUACGUGCCAGCAGCCGCGGUAAUACGUAGGGUACGAGCGUUGUCCGGAAUUAUUGGGCGUAAAGAGCUCGUAGGUGGUUGGUCACGUCUGCUGUGGAAACGCAACGCUUAACGUUGCGCGUGCAGUGGGUACGGGCUGACUAGAGUGCAGUAGGGGAGUCUGAAUUCCUGGUGUAGCGGUGAAAUGCGCAGAUAUCAGGAGGAACACCGGUGGCGAAGGCGGGACUCUGGGCUGUAACUGACACUGAGGAGCGAAAGCAUGGGGAGCGAACAGGAUUAGAUACCCUGGUAGCGUCGUC